UACGAAGGGGGCUAGCGUUGUUCGGAAUUACUGGGCGUAAAGGGCGCGUAGGCGGUGUGUCAAGUCAGGCGUGAAAGCCCCGGGCUCAACCUGGGAACCGCGCUUGAGACUGGCACGCUCGAGUUCGGGAGAGGAUGGUGGAAUUCCCAGUGUAGAGGUGAAAUCGUAGAUAUUGGGAAGAACACCGGUGGCGAAGGCGGCUCUCUGGACCGAGACUGACGCUGAGGCGCGAAAGCGUGGGGAGCAAACAGG
rnacentral:rRNA from 1 species